rnacentral:rRNA from 1 species
GACGAACGCUGGCGGCGUGCCUAAUACAUGCAAGUCGAGCGCAGGAAACUGACGGAACUCUUCGGAGGGAAGGCAGUGGAAUGAGCGGCGGACGGGUGAGUAACACGUAAGGAACCUGCCUCAAGGAUUGGGAUAACUCCGAGAAAUCGGAGCUAAUACCGGAUAGUUCAACGGACCGCAUGGUCCGCUGAUGAAAGGCGCUUCGGCGUCACCUUGAGAUGGCCUUGCGGUGCAUUAGCUAGUUGGUGGGGUAACGGCCCACCAAGGCGACGAUGCAUAGCCGACCUGAGAGGGUGAUCGGCCACACUGGGACUGAGACACGGCCCAGACUCCUACGGGAGGCAGCAGUAGGGAAUCUUCCACAAUGGACGAAAGUCUGAUGGAGCAACGCCGCGUGAGUGAUGAAGGUUUUCGGAUCGUAAAACUCUGUUGUAAGGGAAGAACACGUACGAGAGGAAAUGCUCGUACCUUGACGGUACCUUACGAGAAAGCCACGGCUAACUACGUGCCAGCCGCCGCGGUAAUAC